AGUUGCUAAGACUGGAUAGGAAAUAAAAAGGCAUCUUUUUAUUUUUAAAAGACCUUUUUCGGAAGGUAUGCUUAAAGAGGGGCUUGCGUCACAUUAGUUAGUUGGCAGGGUAAAGGCCUACCAAGACUAUGAUGUGUAGCUGGACUGAGAGGUUGAACAGCCACAUUGGGACUGAGACACGGCCCAAACUCCUACGGGAGGCAGCAGUAGGGAAUUUUCGGCAAUGGAGGAAACUCUGACCGAGCAACGCCGCGUGAACGAUGAAGUAUUUCGGUAUGUAAAGUUCUUUUAUUGAAGAAGAAAAAAUAGUGGAAAAACUAUCUUGACGAUAUUCAAUGAAUAAGCCCCGGCAAACUAUGUGCCAGCAGCCGCGGUAAUACAUAGGGGGCGAGCGUUAUCCGGAAUUAUUGGGCGUAAAGGGUGCGUAGGCGGUUUAAUAAGUCUAUAGUUUAAUUUCAGUGCUUAACACUGUCCUGCUAUAGAAACUAUUAGACUAGAGUGAGAUAGAGGCAAGUGGAAUUCCAUGUGUAGCGGUAAAAUGCGUAAAUAUAUGGAGGAACACCAGAGGCGUAGGCGGCUUGCUGGGUCUUUACUGACGCUGAGGCACGAAAGCGUGGGGAGCAAACAGGAUUAGAUACCCUGGUAGUCCACGCCGUAAACGAUGAGUACUAAGUGUCGGGAUUACUCGGUACUGAAGUUAACACAUUAAGUACUCCGCCUGAGUAGUACGUACGCAAGUAUGAAACUUAAAGGAAUUGACGGGACUCCGCACAAGCGGUGGAUCAUGUUGUUUAAUUCGAAGAUACACGAAAAACCUUACCAGGUCUUGACAUACUCUGCAAAGCUAUAGCAAUAUAGUGGAGGUUAUCAGGGAUACAGGUGGUGCAUGGUUGUCGUCAGCUCGUGUCGUGAGAUGUUAGGUUAAGUCCUAAAACGAGCGCAACCCUUGUCAUUAGUUGCCAGCAUGUCAUGAUGGGCACUUUAAUGAGACUGCCAAUGAAAAAUUGGAGGAAGGUGAGGAUCACGUCAAAUCAUCAUGCCCCUUAUGAUCUGGGCUACAAACGUGAUACAAUGGCUGUUACAAAGAGUAGCUGAAACGCAAGUUUAUAGCCAAUCUCAUAAAAGCAGUCUCAGUUCGGAUUGAAGUCUGCAACUCGACUUCAUGAAGUUGGAAUCGCUAGUAAUCGCGAAUCAGCAUGUCGCGGUGAAUACGUUCUCGGGGUUUGUACACACCGCCCGUCA
rnacentral:rRNA from 1 species